UCUAGCAAUGCAAAUCUGUGACUGACCAUCUACUGUUGCAUCACUGUUGUGCAGGGCACAGGUGCUCAACCAAGAAAAAGCUGGAGAUCACCUACAUUACACAAGUGGAACAGGCUUUUGAACUUCAGUGAGAAAACAUGGCCUCAGAGAACACAGUGGACUAAAGUACAGGCCUUGCUCCUGUAAGGAGUUGGCGAACCAGUGACAGGCAAGAGGGAAAAACUGACAAUGAAACAAAUCUCAAGACAAAUAUUAAUUCAUCAGUGUAAGUCUGGUUUACGCAAACAAGUAUAAC